rnacentral:rRNA from 1 species
AUGCAAACGCCGUUGCCGCUCCUCGACGCAUGGUCACCACACGUGCGGACGAAGAUGCGAAGGGAUCGAUCCCGUCCAACUCCCAGAGCGGUGACAUGCUGCACAGCACUCGCCCGCCUGGUGACGCACUUGCCGGCCCAGCAUCGUACUCGCCCAUCCAGCCGCGCGCUCGCCGGCCCCACGCCAUGCUGGCCACCGUGUGACGAGCUCGCCAACCUCGCUCCGUGUUGGCCGCCCUGCGACAAGCUCGCCGGCUCGCCAGCCAUCUCUCACAUCUCCAGCGGCACACACUGCCUCAUCGCAUGCGCUUGUUUCACCUGCAUCGUCAGCAUGGACAGAAGGUAA